CCUACGGGAGGCAGCAGUGGGGAAUAUUGGACAAUGGGGGCAACCCUGAUCCAGCCAUGCCGCGUGUGUGAAGAAGGCCCUCGGGUUGUAAAGCACUUUCAGUGAGGAAGAACGCCUGGUGGUUAAUACCCAUCAGGAAAGACAUCACUCACAGAAGAAGCACCGGCUAACUCCGUGCCAGCAGCCGCGGUAAUACGGAGGGUGCGAGCGUUAAUCGGAAUUACUGGGCGUAAAGCGCGCGUAGGUGGCUUGAUAAGCCGGUUGUGAAAGCCACGGGCUCAACCUGGGAACGGCAUCCGGAACUGUCAAGCUAGAGUGCAGGAGAGGAAGGUAGAAUUCCCGGUGUAGCGGUGAAAUGCGUAGAGAUCGGGAGGAAUACCAGUGGCGAAGGCGGCCUUCUGGACUGACACUGACACUGAGGUGCGAAAGCGUGGGUAGCAAACAGGAUUAGAUACCCCUGUAGUC
rnacentral:rRNA from 1 species